GUUGGCUCACGAGGUCCUUUCCGGCUUUCUGACAGAUUUGGGACAUGUAGGACUCACCUGAGGGUGAUGUAUUCUUAUUUUAGUCCUACUUGACUGCAGUUAACCUAUGCUCUGAACUUAUGUGUUUACUUGUAACUCGUCCGGUUAUGUCCGUAUGUGGUUAUGUUGAGUUUGGGUUGAAUUUCUGUUGUUAUAUGUUGUUAUUACGCUUCCGUGUCGUGCUUAUGGUUACGUCACGCCCACGUGACGGCCAGCACACCUGGAUCCUCCGGAUCAGGGUGUGUCAGUUUGGUAUCAGAGAGCUUAGGUUGCAGUCCUGUAAAAUUGUUAAUGUCUUAACGAUCUUUUGAUGUUUUCUGUCAGAAUCAUGCCGCCUCGUAGAGAGCGUAGGGAGUCCCGCCGUACUCCUGAACCUAAUUUCCCGGAUAUUACUCAGUUAGGGGAAGCGAUGGCCCAGGCUUUACAGAAUGUGAUUCGUCCUCCCCCUCCUCCGAGGACACCUCUGGAGACCAUGUACAACUUGAAGUUAGAUCGGUUUAUGGGUAAUGAAAGUCAUGAGGGGGCAGAGAAAUGGCUAGAUCAUAUUGAGAAAACCUUCCAGGUGAUGCAGAGUCAGGGGAAUCUCCCUGCUAAUAGGUGGGUGGAGACCACCACUUGGUUUCUGGGUCGUGAACCAGCAGCAUGGUGGAUAAAUCAGGCUAGGUACAUGUCACCUGAGACGGCAGCCAACUGGAAAGUAUUCAAGGAGCAUUUUAUGAAGAGAUUCGUUCCUCCUGAGUAUAUUGACCGUAAGAAGCAGGAAUUCACCAGGUUGAAACAGAGAAAUAUGUCGGCACAUGAAUAUUAUAGAAAGUUUACUGAUUUGUCUCGUUAUGACACUGAUAUAGCUGGUAAUCAGGGAGAGAUGCUUCGACGUUUCAAGUUGGGAUCUAAGAAGAAGUGGCGUACCUUUGCCAAUGCACUUCCCUGCGCUGAUUAUCAUGAGUAUUUCGAGAUUUUGGUUAGGAUGGAGGACUCUGAUAAUCUUCCUGACAGUGAGGAUGACGAGGACAAGAAUGAGGGUCAGAAGAAGAAUGAUAAGGGUAAGGGUAUUUCUAUUCCUGGACCUCGACAGACACAGAGUUUUAAGAAGAGUGGAGCGAGUUCGAGUUCUUCUAGUGGGGGAUAUAGUUUUACUGGCCCGAGGAGAGGUGGUGGAAGAUUUUCUGGUGGUGGACCCAGAUUUCAGGGUCAGAGGGAUGCUGGUGGAUCUGGCGCUCCAUGGUGCCGCCGUUGUAACUCCCGUCACCAUGGUGAGUGUAGGAGAGGUUCUGGUGCUUGUUUUACGUGUGGGCAGAUGGGACAUCGGGCUUCUCAGUGCCCCCAGGGUCAGCAGAGACCGCAACAGACUAAUAUGCCACCUCCAGCACCAGUUCAGCAGAGUUUUGGACCGGGUGGUUAUGGCCAGCCGAAUCGUGGUGGUGCUUACCACUAUCAGGGGGAUGCGGCUCCGUAUGCUUCCGGACCUUAUCAGUAUUCUCAGGAGCCUUAUCCUCAGGCAGGGUAUUCUCAGGAUUUUGGAGGUUAUUCUUCUUAUUCCUCUAUGCCAGCUGGUGGAUCGCAGUGGCAUCAGGGAGGCCAGCCCCGUCAGGGGGAAGUUGCUACGGGUGGUGCAGGAUCAUCCAGGCAGCUUAGUCAGCCAGGUCAGGGGCGUAAUCCUCAGGGACGAGGUAAUCAGGGCAAUAGAGGCCGAGGUGGACGACAGCAGGCUCAGGGGCGAAUUAAUCAUAUUUCUUUGCAGGAGGCUCAGAACCAUCCAGACUUGAUUAUGGGUACGUUGAAUGUUCUUGGUCAUUUUGCUAAGGUUUUGAUUGAUUGUGGUGCUACGCACUCUGUGAUUUCUCAUACGUUUGCUCAAAUAACCCAACCUCACCCUUCACCUCUAGGAUUUGAUUUAGAGUUUGCCAUGCCUAGAGGAGAUAAAUGUUAUGUGGAUAGUGUGUAUCUGGGGUGUCCAGUGAUGGUUGAGGGCGUGAUUAUGUCCGCUGAUCUUAUUCCGUUAGAUAUUGUGGAUUUUGAUGUAAUUUUAGGGGCCGAUUGGUUACACCAUAAUCGUGCCCAUAUUGAUUGUUAUGGUAAAUCAGUUACUUUUUAUCGUCCUGGAUUACCCGAGGUUACUUUUGUGGGCGAGAGAAGUGGGGUGAGACAUGGAGUUAUUUCUGCCAUGAGGGCGAGGAAAUUAUUAUCAAAGGGUUGUCAGGGAUAUUUGGCACAUGUGGUAUUAAAUGAUGUUGCUCCUACUAGUAUAGAAGAAGUUGGUGUGGUCAGACAUUAUCCGGAUGUAUUCCCUGAUGAUUUGCCGGGAUUACCACCAGACAGGGAGGUGGAAUUCUCUAUUGAUUUGCUUCCAGGUACGGACCCUAUAUCUCUGACUCCUUAUAGAAUGGCUCCUGCUGAGUUAAGGGAAUUAAAAAUCCAGUUGCAAGAAUUACUUGAUAAAGGUUUUAUUCAACCUAGUUCUUCACCUUGGGGUGCCCCAGUAUUAUUUGUGAAGAAGAAGGAUGGAACUCUUCGAUUGUGUAUUGAUUAUAGACAAUUGAACCGGGUAACGAUUAAAAACCGUUAUCCAUUGCCCCGCAUUGAUGAUUUGUUUGAUCAGCUGAAAGGUGCGUGUGUAUUUUCUAAGAUUGAUUUGAGAUCCGGGUAUUAUCAAUUGAAGAUUAAAGAAGACGAUGUACCUAAGACGGCUUUCCGAACUCGGUACGGACAUUAUGAAUUUUCGGUUAUGCCGUUUGGGUUGACUAAUGCACCUGCAGCUUUUAUGAGAUUAAUGAAUGAGGUAUUCCAGAAAUAUCUUGAUAAAUUUGUUAUUGUUUUUUUAUUGAUGAUAUUCUGGUAUACUCUAAGUCCCAAGCAGAUCAUAUCCGACACCUUAAUUUGGUGUUAAGGAAAUUAAGGGAGCAUCAGUUGUAUGCCAAGUUCAGUAAAUGUCAGUUUUGGUUGACUGAAGUGGCAUUUUUGGGGCAUGUUGUAUCAGCUCAAGGUAUUCAAGUUGAUCCUCAAAAGAUUGCAGCAGUGGAGAAUUGGGAGCAACCUCGGACCGUCACGGAGGUACGAAGUUUUCUUGGCUUAGCAGGUUAUUAUCGACGGUUCGUUCAGGAUUUCUCUAUGAUUGCUUUACCGUUGACAAAGUUGACCAGGAAGGAUGUUAAAUUUGAGUGGGAUGAGAAUUGUGAGCGGAGUUUUCAACAAUUGAAGUAUUGCCUCACUCAUGCACCGGUGUUGGUACUUCCCGACGAUAGCGGUAAUUUUGAGAUAUAUAGUGAUGCUUCAUUAAAUGGUUUGGGAUGUGUUUUUGAUGCAGCAUAAUAAGGUGAUUGCCUAUGCUUCUAGGCAGUUGAAAAAUCAUGAAAGGAACUAUCCUACUCACGAUCUUGAAUUGGCAGCAAUUGUUUUUUGCUUUGAAAAUUUGGAGGCAUUACUUGUAUGGUGAGAAGUGUAAGAUCUUCACUGAUCACAAGAGUCUUCAGUAUUUGUUUACUCAGCAUGAUCUUAAUCUUCGUCAGCGAAGGUGGAUGGAAUUGUUAAGUGAUUAUGAUUGUUCUAUUGAAUACCAUCCAGGUCGUGCUAAUGUAGUAGCGGAUGCACUGAGUAGGAAACCUCAAGGUAGGCUUAAUGCCUUAUAUGCGAGUCGUGUUCCUCUUCUUGCUGAAUUGAGGACAACGGGGGUAAGGUUGGAAAUUGAAGACCGAGAUGGAGCUUUUCUUGCUAGUUUUCAAGUCAGGCCAGUUUUGGUGGACCGUAUACUUGCAGCUCAGAUGGUGAAUGAGGAAGUUCAGGAGUUGGUUCAGUUAAGAAGUGAAGGGAAAAAGAAAGACCUCAGAAUUCGGGAAUCAGAUGGUAUGCUCAUGCAAGAAGACAGAAUGUAUGUUCCGAAUAAUGAGGAAUUGAAGAAGGAAAUUCUGGAUGAAGCACAUUGUUCAGCUUAUGCGAUGCAUCCGGGAGGAACAAAAAUGUAUCAUACCAUUCGACCAUUUUAUUAUUGGCCGGGUAUGAAAAGAGAAAUUGCAGAAUAUGUGAGCAGGUGUAUUAUUUGCCAGCAAGUGAAAGCAGAAAGGAAGAAGCCCUUUGGGCGAAUGCAACCCCUUCCUGUUCCCCAGUGGAAAUGGGAAAAUAUAACAAUGGAUUUCGUGUAUAAACUUCCUCGUACGCGAAAUGGAUUUGAUGGUAUUUGGGUGAUUGUGGAUCGACUCACCAAGUCUGCGCAUUUCAUUCCUGUGAGGGAGAAAUACCCUCUGAAUAAAUUGGCUAAGUUGUUUAUUUCGAAGAUUGUCAAGUAUCAUGGAGUCCCAGUAAAUAUUAUCUCCGAUCGAGACCCGAGGUUUACUUCUAAAUUUUGGGUGGCUUUUCAGGAAGCUCUGGGUACUCAAUUACUGUAUAGCACAGCUUAUCAUCCUCAAACUGAUGGGCAAUCAGAGAGGACCAUUCAGACGUUGGAGGAUAUGUUGAGAUCUUCAGUACUGCAAUUUGGUGAUUCUUGGCAUGAUCGUCUGGACUUAAUGGAGUUUGCUUAUAAUAACAGUUUUCACUCGAGCAUUGGUAUGUCCCCAUUCGAGGCACUUUAUGGUAGGGCGUGUCGAACGCCAUUAUGUUGGUCUGAGGUUGGUGAACGGGUAUUAGAAGGCCCUGAGAUCGUGGACGAGACGACUCAAAAUGUUCAGGUAAUUAAGUCAAACCUGAAAGCAGCCCAGGAUCGACAUAAGAGUUUAGCGGAUCGGCAUACUACUGAUCGAGUGUAUGAUGUGGGUGAUUGGGUAUUCUUGAAAUUGUCGCCUUGGAGAGGUGUGGUACGAUUUGGGAAAAGAGGAAAGCUAAGUCCGAGAUAUAUUGGACCUUAUGUGAUCAUUGAAAGAGUUGGUGAAGUUGCCUACCGGUUGGAACUGCCUCCGGAGUUAUCUAAGGUCCAUAAUGUGUUCCAUGUCUCUAUGCUUCGGCAUUAUAUUUCUGAUCCUUCUCAUGUGAUCCCUCCUCAACCGUUAGAGAUUAAUCCGGAUUUGACGUAUGAUGAGGAACCGGUCACUAUCUUGGAUUGGAAAGAUAAGGUUCUGAGGAACAAGACGGUGAGUUUGGUAAAGGUAUUGUGGAUGAACCAUUCUGCAGAGGAAGCCACCUGGGAGACGGAAGAUCGGAUGAGAGAGAUGUACCCAAGGUUAUUUUAUGGGUACUAAGUGGUUAUUUGAUUGUGGGAAUUUCGGGGACGAAAUUCUAUAAGGAGGGGAGAUUGUCACAGCCCGUCCCGGGAUUUCUAUAUCGGGGGCGUGAAUUGACGUAACUACCCUUGACGGACAUUCGGGUACGUGUGUGUGCGACAUUAUUGAAUUAAUUUUGUAAGUUUUGGGAUUUUAAUUUUGGAAUUUGGAAAUUUUUGUGGUUAGGGAAUUGGAUGGAUGGUGAGGAUUGUGUUGGACCACACAAUCACACACACACGCACUCCCUGUCUUCUCUCUCCCUCCCGUAGCUCUCUCUGUCCCUCUCCCUCACGAUCUCUCUCUUUCCCCUCACCCUAUACGUACGGCCUUCACCCAAAACCCUUCAAAACUCGACGGAUCGAGGCAAAUAAGGUAUGCAUCUUCAUCCUUUCGUCGUCCUGAGUUCAUUGGUGCUAGUUUUAGGAAGUGAAACCUUCGAUUUCACAUAGAUCCCGAACCUUCAUUUUUGAGGUACUGUUCAUGCGAACGUAAAAUGUUGUGUUUCAGGAGAUUUCAAGCUUGUGGUGAGCUUUAGGAGGUUCUAAGGAAGCUCGGGGACGUUCGUUGGAGAGUUUUGGACGUCGGGAUCGUAGGUUUCAAGUUUGGCCGAAUCUUUGGUUUUUGCAAGGUGAGAUUUCGUAGUUUUUAGGCCCUAAAACAAGUCCAACGUGAUUGUACACUCUUAGGGCUUCAAUUUGGUAUAAAAUACGAAGAAAAUGGGUGAAAAACGAAGGAGAAUAGUGAGUUUGAAAAUCGGCCGGAGUUCGGCCGGAGUCCGGCCACCGGAGAACCAGUCCGGCGAGGCCCUGCGAAGAAGACGACACGUGCGCUGCACGUGCUGCGCGUGGCCAGCGCGUGGACCCGUGCCACGUGUGGCGCGUGGGGGCGCGUGGGGCUUCCAAAAAUUUUUUCUAAAAAUUUCCCGACGCUCGUGACGUCGAGUAGGUCGAUGUGGUAUAUGCAUAUACCAAAAUUGAGCAUCGUAUGAGAAGUUAUUUCGAAUUAUUGGUGAUAUGCUUAAAAUUAAUGUUUUUAUAGUUGUUUCGCAUAUAGGUGAGACGUAUCCCGAGGACGACCGCAUCCAGGGACGCCACGGGGGUUACGACCCGUCGACUUAUCAGUGAGUGGGCAGUUUUGUUUUCGUAUUACCUAUAUACUAUUGUUUUUCCCAGAAAAAUGCUUUUAUGCGAAAUUAUGUUUUUGAAAAUGUCAUGCAUAGAAUUAUUUGGAAAAUGUGAAUUUCAUAUGAGUUAUAUGAUUGAUAUAUGAUGCAUACAUGUUGCAUGGUGCUGUGUGAGGCACAGGUAAGUCAGGUGAGUUCGUUUAUUCAUUGAAUUGUUGUUGUUGAGAUGUUUGAGCUCAUAAUCUGCACCCUAGGUGUUAGUGCUUAUAUUAUUCACCACACCGCACGCUCGCCUUGGAUCCAAGUAGGUGGAUGUCGUACAGACCAUGUGAGGGUUCCGACAUGCUAGUCGUACAGAUCACUAGGCGUGAUUCCGACUAGUGGGUGACCUUAGUUAUGCGCGCUGAUGAUAUGAUGAGAGAAGCACUAGAGCGUAUUUUUACACCUUUCAUCGUAUAGACUACCUUACGUAGUUCCGAGUGAUGUGCAGAGUAGGGCCGUAUAGGUCACUGUGGUGACUCCGGCUUAGUGGGAUUUGAGCUAUUGAAUUAAUCGUAUAGGACCAACUGCAGGGUCUCCGAUUGAUUCCUUAUUCACCUGAUUUAUAUUUUUAUUUAUGUCAUGGCAUGUUUUCUUGAAAAUGUUAAAGAUUUGAGAUUUAAAUGUUGAGAUUUUAUAUGGUUAUAUAAUUUCUGGGAAAGUAUACAGGUUUUUACGGCGAGGGGAUAUAACUGUUUUAAUGAAAUGUUUUGGAAAACUAAUUUGUUUUACUGACCCACUCAUUUUGUUUUGCGCCCCUCCAGGUUCUAGUUUAACGGUGGUUGGCUCACGAGGUCCUUUCCGGCUUUCUGACAGAUUUGGGACAUGUAGGACUCACCUGAGGGUGAUGUAUUCUUAUUUUAGUCCUACUUGACUGCAGUUAACCUAUGCUCUGAACUUAUGUGUUUACUUGUAACUCGUCCGGUUAUGUCCGUAUGUGGUUAUGUUGAGUUUGGGUUGAAUUUCUGUUGUUAUAUGUUGUUAUUACGCUUCCGUGUCGUGCUUAUGGUUACGUCACGCCCACGUGACGGCCAGCACACCUGGAUCCUCCGGAUCAGGGUGUGUCA
rnacentral:lncRNA from 1 species